UUCUUUUGAAAAAUUAUAGAAUCGGUGAGAUUUCAACAACAAAACCAAACUAAUCAAUAACAUUGAAAAAAAAAAGUAUAAUUUUCAAUAAAUUUCGGUGGUGGCGCCACUAGAACAACUGUUUUAACGAAUUUGAGUGCGAACAAUUUCCCCGGUUCCGUUCCGUUGAUUGCAUAGAUUUUCAGAAUUCUUUUGGCGCCAAAGGCAAUGAUGGAACAUUUGGCCCAAACGUCGUCACAUUAACUCCUGACAAUACAGUCUGUGAGGGAGCUUACGUAAGGGAUUUCAAUUCUAUGGAGUAGUGGAAGAAAGAAAUGGAGAAGUUAGUGAAGCAAAAUUGACGGUCCUCUUCAGAUUCCCAAAUCACGAGUUUCUUGAGGGUGGGAUUUUGGGGCCCUUGUGCUGAGAUCAUGUUUCCUUUAUAAAGUUCAUGUGAUGGGUUAUUUGACGCUUCCACUAUUACCGAUGGAAAUUAGAGAGAAAUUCAAAAAGAAAGGGACUUCCUUCGUGUGAGUAUUGGAUCGUUUCUCAGUGGGUUUUGGUCCUUUUUCACGCACAAUAAUUACUACGGCCACAUUCCGAUGAUUCUGUGGUUCCCUUUCAUGAUCUGUCUUGCUCUGUUUGGAGGUUUUAUAUGAUUUUCUAACUGUAAACCUUUUAUUCCUGUAUCAUGAAAGAGGAAUAUACCACCUGGAUAUGUUCUAAUAACAUGGUACAGGCGAUUAUCAGCUUUUAACUCAAUACUUAAGACAUCCCUAUUUCACAUUCAAAGUAAUAUUGUAAACAAGAUGAAUACACACACACACACACACACACACAUAUAUAUGAUAAAACGUUUAUAGA